GAGUUUGAUCAUGGCUCAGAGUGAACGCUGGCGGCGUGGUUCAGACAUGCAAGUCGUGCGCGAGAGUAGCAAUAUUCUUGAGCGGUGAACGGGUGCGUAACACGUGUGCAACCUACCUUAAAGUUCAGAAUAGCCUGCCGAAAGGCGGAUUAAUGCGGAAUGUGGCGGCAUACAGCAUUGUGUGCUUGCUAAAGCCGGGGUCGCAAGACCUGGCGCUUUAAGAGGGGCUCGCGGCCUAUCAGCUUGUUGGCGGGGUAACGGCCCACCAAGGCUAAGACGGGUAGCUGUUCUGAGAGGAAGAUCAGCCACACUGGGACUGAGAUACGGCCCAGACACCUACGGGUGGCAGCAGUUUCGAAUCAUUUACAAUGGGGGAAACCCUGAUAGUGCGACGCCGCGUGGGGGAUGAAGGUCCUUGGAUUGUAAACCCCUGUCACCGGAGAACAAACGCGUAUGGCUAAUAUCCAUACGCCUGAGCUUAUCCGGAGAGGAAGCCGUGGCCAACUCUGUGCCAGCAGCCGCGGUAAUACAGAGACGGCGAGCGUUACUCGGAUUUACUGGGCGUAAAGGGUGCGUAGGUGGCCAAGUGUGUCGGGUGUGAAAUCUCGGAGCUCAACUCCGAAACUGCGCCCG
rnacentral:rRNA from 1 species